CCAGGCUGGUCUCAAACUCCUGACCUCAGGUGAUCCACCUGCCUAGGCCUCCCAAAGUGUUGGGAUUACAGGCGUGAGCCACCAUGCCCUAGACCUGAGUCUGUUUAUGCUUCUGUCAGGUGUGGCAUGGGCCUGCCUGGGAGCUAUUCUUUUUCUGUAAAGCACAGGCAGUUAAUCAGUGGUCUCUGGGAAGAAUCCAGCUCAGGGUUAUAUUUCGUUUGACCCACUCGAGUUUUAAAAAGUAAAUUAGUUGCCAAUGUGCAAACAUUAGAAGAGUUCACAGCUUCUCCAACAAUACCCAGAAGUUCGUCCGGAUGGUGCCCGCAUUCCCUGCUCUGUCUAGAUGGUGCCCACAUUCCCUGCUGUGUCUAGAUGGUGCCCACAUUCCCUGAUCUGUCCAGACAGUGCCUACAUUCCCUGCUCCAUCCGGAUGGUGCCCACAUUCCCUGCUCUGUCCAGACGGUGCCCACAUUCCCUGCUCUGUCCGGACGGUGCCCACAUUCCCUGAUCUGUCCGGACAGUGCCCACAUUCCCUCCUCCGUCUGGAAGGUGCCCACAUUCCCUGCUGUGUCUGGACGGUGCCCACAUUUCCUGCUCCAUCCAGACAGUGCCCACAUUCCCUGCUCUGUCUAGACAGUGCCCACAUUCCCUGCUCCAUC
rnacentral:lncRNA from 1 species